rnacentral:rRNA from 1 species
UGGGGAAUAUUGGACAAUGGGCGCAAGCCUGAUCCAGCAAUGCCGCGUGUGUGAAGAAGGCCUUCGGGUUGUAAGGCACUUUUAUCAGGAGCGAAACGCUGUCGGCUAAUACCCGGCGGAACUGACGGUACCUGAGGAAUAAGCACCGGCUAACUUCGUGCCAGCAGCCGCGGUAAUACGAAGGGUGCAAGCGUUAAUCGGAAUUACUGGGCGUAAAGCGUGCGUAGGCGGUUCCUUAAGUCUGCUGUGAAAUCCCCGGGCUCAACCUGGGAAUGGCAGUGGAUACUGGGAGGCUAGAGUGUGUCAGAGGGUGGUGGAAUUCCCGGUGUAGCGGUGAAAUGCGUAGAGAUCGGGAGGAACAUCAGUGGCGAAGGCGGCCACCUGGGGACAACACUGACGCUGAGGCACGAAAGCGUGGGGAGCAAACAGGAUUAGAUACCCUGGUAGUCCACGCCCUAAACGAUGCGAACUGGAUGUUGGUCUCAACUCGGAGAUCAGUGUCGAAGCUAACGCGUUAAGUUCGCCGCCU